GUCCGUUCAUCCCGAUAGGGACGCAUGACACCCAAGCAUGGAACGGGGCUUGGA
ncrna:unclassified sequences Glutamine-II riboswitch (downstream peptide RNA)